rnacentral:rRNA from 1 species
CGGCGGACGGGUGAGUAACACGUGGAUAACCUACCUAUAAGACUGGGACAACUUCGGGAAACCGGAGCUAAUACCGGAUAAUAUAUUGAACCGCAUGGUUCAAUAGUGAAAGACGGUUUUGCUGUCACUUAUAGAUGGAUCCGCGCCGCAUUAGCUAGUUGGUAAGGUAACGGCUUACCAAGGCAACGAUGCGUAGCCGACCUGAGAGGGUGAUCGGCCACACUGGAACUGAGACACGGUCCAG